ensembl:lncRNA LINC01192 long intergenic non-protein coding RNA 1192
GGUGGCAUCGGCGGUUCAAGACUGAGUUUUCUAUCUCUUCAGUGCCUCUUUCAACAAUGAAGAUCAAACCAGGUACUGAGGUAGUGGGAGUGCUCAUCUAGUUUUUGGCUUUUAGUUUUGUGCAAAUAUCUGCUGAGUGAACUACUUAUUUGAAAAUACAUCAUUGGUUAAUAUUCCCUUUUGCUCAUUGAAAUCUCAAAGACUACAGACCCCGCACAAGACAUUCUGACAUUCCCGUCUUUGAAAUGAAUGACAGCAAUGAUAAAUAUGGCUCACCUCCAGAGAUACAGAUCUCACAACUUCAUAUUUUUAAUAUAAAUUAUUAAUCUGAGGUGUGGUGCAAUUCCAUUAGAUGAAAGAGAUCUACACAUUCAGAAGCACAUGAUUCUUCCCCCUUCCAUGAUUCCAGUGGCCAAUAGAAUGGAGUGUAGUGGCGUGAUCUUGGCUCACAACAACUUCUGCUUCCCACAUUCAAGCGAUCCUCCCACCUUAUACUCCUGAGUAGCUGGAACCACAGACAAACUACAAUAAAGCCAUGCCCUGACUGGAUGUGCCUAACAUUUGUCUGGUGCUUAAAGGAGUUGGCUGCAUGCGUGGGAUGGAGAAGGAUUCAACAUUUAAUGGCAGUUAGAAUCAAAUUUUUAACUCAAGAAGGCAGAAGGAAUCCACCUAAAUAAAUGUUGGAAAGUCACCAAAAAUAGUUCUCCAAGUCAGAAGCGGUGCAAAAGCUGCCUCAGCUCUUGGUGGAUUUUCAAUUUCUCCCAGCCAUCUCUGUUUCGCUAAAGGUUUCUGAAGACAGUGGAUAAUGAAGAUAUUAUACCAUUAUAUGCUCUUGAAUCUGUCUCAUUGUGACUUGGCGAAGAGGCAGUGAAUCUGCCAAAAAGAAGUAGAGCAGCUGUGAAGAUGCCAACACAAUUGAGUACUCUUUCUCUACAUAUUUCUAAAUAUGGCAAUUUAUUGGACACUUAUGAGCAUGGAAUGACAAUGGGGUCAAUUUAACCAUACGGCAAUGCUGAGACACCUUCAUUAUGACCUUUCCCUGGUAUAAGUUAUGUGAUAAUGAAUGCAUGUUUAGUCACACACUGUAGGUACAGAUGGGAAAAAAGAAAGCAUAAAAUAUAAAACAUGAUGUCCAGGUUUCAAAUAAGAAUUCUAAAAUGUUAUUUAAUUAAUGAAAUGAAAAUACUUUACUUUAGAAAAAGAAUAUUGAAUCUCUUUGAUGUAUAAAAUGUAUAUUUCAAAUUAAAAAUUCAAAAGAAACAAAUUAGAUAUAAUUUAUUUUGUCCUCAAAUACUCUUGAUGACUGCACAAUUCCUUUCAUCUUCAAAUUUUGUCAAAUUCAAGUAUCACCUGUCUUCAGGCUAAGUGUUGACCAUAUGGCAAAAUGAAGCUCAUCAUACUACAGAGAUCUACUUGGGGUCUAAUUUUCAUCAUUAUAAUCCAAAAUUUUCCUUCAAAGACAAAAAGACAAAACAGUUGAUAAAGCCUUCUAUAAGAUUAUUAUUACUGAUUAUUUAAAUUCCUUUGACUGGGUCAAAUAAAUAUUCUGUAGACAAAAUUAAUUUCAUAUCAAAGUGAGAUAAUUUUUGAAUUGUGCUCCAAAAAGUCAUUUUUAAAUUAUAAAUUUGUAUUUAUUAAUUGACACAUUUAACAAAAAUUCAUUCAGUGCUAUACAGCAACCAUUAUGCCAAGACUGAAACAUUUCCUUCCCCCACAAAUCAAAAACUAUAUUGUAAAUAGUCAUGAGAGUUUCAACACUAGCUCCCCAAAAGGCUAUUCAUCCCAAAAUAAAGUCGUGCCAUUGUUUCA